rnacentral:snoRNA from 1 species
AGCCCAUGGUGUGGACAUCUUUUAAGCAAAUCCUUAAAUCCUUCCCAAGCCUCAUAUAAGGAUUCACCAUCAAAUUAUAUGAAUGAAAUAUAGUUCCUAAACUU